rnacentral:lncRNA from 1 species
CUAGAUCAAUCAAGAACUCGGUGAGGUCCAGGUUGCCGCAACGCCGGUGCAGCCUCUCCGCGGGGUCUUCUCUCCCCUCGGUGAACGAUCCACGAGUGCGUCGCCGUCGAUGCUUACAGCAGGGCAGGCCGGCUCCUCGUCGGGUUGCGUGCUCGGCGCGGCCAUGAGCGCCGCCAGGUGGUCCAGAUGCGCCAUGACUCUCUGCUUUACUUUGGUCACGCGUUUCGUCCGCGCAUCGUCGUUGCUAUUGCUACUGUGUGCGUCAUGGUAGUAAUGGAGCUUGUACCCCUGGCUCUUGUAGUACCUCUGGAACCCAUACUGUGGAAUGUCGUCGGGUAUCUCCUUGCCAA